AUGGUCCCUGCGAGGUCCUAUGCCUUGCCAGGCCUCGCAGAGGCCUACUGAGCAUGUGUGGUGACCUCCAAAAUGGCCACUGCACUGAUCUUUGUAGGCUGAAACAGGCCUGAAAAUUAGCCCGAGACAGGCUGCGGCAGUGAUCUAAGAGGCCAGCAGAGGGAGGGGGGACUUUUGCAGGGCCCCCCGGCCUUUAGGAAGCCCCCCGAAGGGGCUACAGGAGCUAUCAAGUUUAUUCUACCACUGCAAAGAAGCAUUACAUAAGUGAGAAAGGAAGAGCUUGUCUUCUCAAGAGAUGAAUCUGUAAGCAGGACCCAGUAGGAAUUAAGAGGUUCUUUUGGGGCAGUUCUUUUAUUUCAUCCUUCUGUUUCAUCUGGAGGCCCAAAGAAGAAAGAAGGUCUAUACCGGCUUCUAAUUCUGUGGUUGUCAGCAUUGCUGCCUUAUAACGAAUUUGAAACUUUCUUGGGUCUUGCCUGGGCAUUGACCUUGUUUUCGUGGCUGUUAUUUCUGGCUAUUGCUUUCCUGCCUGCUGGAUUUCCCAUAGACUCCAGAUCCAGAGUUGAGCCUGAACUGGCCCUGCUUUAUUUCCCAGCGAUAUGAAAGAAUCUAAACCUCAUCUUCCAAAACAACUCUUUGAGGGCCAAAAGGGCGUGAAUAUUUUGAGGGCGUGAAUGACAAGUGUUGGAUCAGGAUCUUUCUCAGCAGGCCUACCAUUUGCACAUGACACACCACCGGGGACUGAGAUUCCACACAUCCCCUGGCCACAUGUCCACCUGUGGAUCAAAGAGAGAAUAUAUUUCCAGUACCUUCAUUGACCACUCCUUGCAUCUGAUGAAUUUGGGUCUUGCCCAUGAAAACUCAUGCCACAAGAAAUGGCAUCUUGGUCAAAGAAAGAUCUUCUACAGCUGCUAUUAAAGGAUGCUACCAAAAGGCAUAGCAAGGGGUUCAGCACCGUGUACGGAAAACUGCUGGUGCUGACAGCUGUUGCCUUAAGAGUGUUAAUGGCCAAAGCGGGAUCACACACUCUUGACUUCGCUCAGCUCGUACAUGCUAUCAACACCAGCCUGAGACUGACACUUUCCUUAACUAGAAUGAGGCAUAUUUCAGAUGUUCCUGGAGAAGACACUUCAGAAAUCAAAUAAA